rnacentral:lncRNA from 1 species
GCCAGGCCCAAGUGCUCCUUGGUCAUUCCAACAAUCCCAGCAUUACUGCCAACCAUAAGCAUGCAGAAGUCAGGUAAAUGGCCGGUCAUGCCAAAGACGGUGGUUUUCAGGUAUUUUUCGUGACCAGCCAGGUCAAUGAAAGUGAUGACCUUGGUGGAUUUCUCACAGAUCUUUGUCCACUCCAAGCUGCCACCGUGGCUGUCAGGCUUGUUCACCACGUUGCCCUCGCUGUCGAAGCCCAGGAUGUCAUUGCCCACGCUGCUGGUGCGGCCUGAUUCAAUCUCAUGCUUAUGGCGGAAGAGCUUUUGCCGAGCAAAGCCUCGGCCGUUGUCGAGCUCACCGUGUGUCAGGACACCCAGCAAGGUGCUCUUUCCUGCAUCCACGUUGCCAACCACUGCUACCCUGACCUCCAGGAAGUCGUUGUCACCCACACGUUUCCGAACCAGGUAGUCCUGCACCUUGCCCCCUGCCUCCUGGUGCUCCCUCAGGAGGAUCACA